GCCUGUUCCGCUGAGUUACUCCAGCAUUUUGUGUCUAUCUUCGGUCAUUUUGUGUCUAUCUUCAUGUAUUAUUUCCUUUUUCCUAUUCUAAUCUGCAACUAUUAAAUGAGUUGAUUUAGCCAGACUGUCGUGGGUCAGGUGUUGAAAGUAUUAUUGCACUGGUUGAUGUUUCUCACUGAAGACGCAUCAUGGGUGAUACAAGGGAAUGGUGAAGUACUAUUUCAAUCGAAAUCAAGAAG